rnacentral:rRNA from 1 species
UACAGAGGUCUCAAGCGUUGUUCGGAUUCAUUGGGCGUAAAGGGUGCGUAGGCGGCGCGGUAAGUCGGAUGUGAAAUCCCACGGCUCAACCGUGGAACUGCUGGGCAUACUGGACAUCUCGAGGCACUCAGGGGCGAGCGGAACAAGUGGUGGAGCGGUGAAAUGCGUAGAUAUCACUUGGAACGCCAAUGGUGAAGACAGCUCGCUGGGGGUGUCCUGACGCUGAGGCGCGAAAGCCAGGGGAGCGAACGGG